rnacentral:rRNA from 1 species
AUUGAACGCUGGCGGCAUGCCUUACACAUGCAAGUCGAACGGUAACAGGUCUUCGGAUGCUGACGAGUGGCGAACGGGUGAGUAAUACAUCGGAACGUGCCUAGUAGUGGGGGAUAACUACUCGAAAGAGUGGCUAAUACCGCAUGAGAUCUACGGAUGAAAGCAGGGGAACGCAAGACCUUGUGCUACUAGAGCGGCCGAUGGCAGAUUAGGUAGUUGGUGGGAUAAAAGCUUACCAAGCCGACGAUCUGUAGCUGGUCUGAGAGGACGAUCAGCCACACUGGGACUGAGACACGGCCCAGACUCCUACGGGAGGCAGCAGUGGGGAAUUUUGGACAAUGGGCGAAAGCCUGAUUCAGCAAUGCCGCGUGCAGGAUGAAGGCCUUCGGGUUGUAAACUGCUUUUGUACGGAACGAAAAGCCCCGGGUUAAUACCCUGGGGUCAUGACGGUACCGUAAGAAUAAGCACCGGCUAACUACGUGCCAGCCGCCGCCGUAAGAC